rnacentral:rRNA from 1 species
UGUCUAAGUAUAAGCGAUCUUAUACGGCGAAACUGCGAAUGGCUCAUUAAAUCAGUUAUAGUUUAUUUGAUGGUCUCUCACCACUUGGAUAACCGUGGUAAUUCUAGAGCUAAUACAUGCGUCGAGUCCCGACUSUCGCGGAAGGGAUGUAUUUAUUAGAUUCAAAACCAAUGCGGGGCCCCGGUCCCGGUCUUUUGGUGAUUCAUAGUAACUGUUCGGAGCGCAGGGCCUCGUGCGCCGGCGCCGGAUCAUUCAAGUUUCUGCCCUAUCAACUGUCGAUGGUAAGGUAUUGGCUUACCAUGGUUGCAACGGGUGACGGAGAAUUAGGGUUCGAUUCCGGAGAGGGAGCCUGAGAAACGGCCACCACAUCCAAGGAAGGCAGCAGGCGCGCAAAUUACCCAAUCCCGACACGGGGAGGUAGUGACAAUAAAUAACAAUACAGGGCUUUCGUAAGUCUUGUAAUUGGAAUGAGAACAAUUUAAAUCCCUUAACGAGGAACAAUUGGAGGGCAAGUCUGGUGCCAGCAGCCGCGGUAAUUCCAGCUCCAAUAGCGUAUAUUAAAGUUGUUGCAGUUAAAAAGCUCGUAGUUGGAUUUCGGCGGCGCGGCGUCGGUCCGCCUGGCGGCGUGUCACUGGCGCCGCGCGGCUUUCUCUCGAGGGCCGCGCGUGCUCUUGAGUGAGCGUGCGCGUUACUCGGGACGUUUACUUUGAAAAAAUUAGAG